CGCAAGAAGAGAAAUAUCCUGUAGGACCAUGGCUGUUGGCACUGUUCGUUUUUGUUGUCUGUGGCUCAGGUUGACCACAUAAACACUGGCCUUUCCUGGAGACUGACAGAACUUUCUCGGAACUGUGACCCCCAGAGGGAGUCACCUCCUGCAACCAGCAAAUGGGGUGCUUGAGGAACGGGACAGCCCCGGAGGAAAGACAGAGGCCAUUCAUCUGCCCUGGAGCCCUGCCUCAGGAUCCAAGAUGGACAGUCUAGAGAAGACAUUUCACCAGCCAUUGACUUCCUCAAGCCAUCUUUCAAAUCAUUCAGAGCAUAAGGAUGGGCAUGUGAGGAGGCCGGGGCAUCUGAUGCUGCGCCCUCCCGCUGGAGGGUGGAGGACCACGGAGGCCUUUGGCGGGUAUCUGUGGGAAGCCAACAGGCCACGUGGAAUAGAGAAGAGGCUUCGCCACUGGUUCCCUGACCACUUCCACCUGGAAGUCAGACCAAACUGCCUUCUCACAGAACAUCUCGGUGAAUCCGUGUCCUCCAGCGGAAAGGACAUUCUGCUUUUCUGUUGGCGGGAUUGGUAGCCACGCGGGUCGUCUGCAGCAUUGCUGUCUGUCUGGUCCCCCUUGGUUUCACUAAUGUGUGCAUGUGGCCCUCUGAAUGACCGCUGGUUUACUUUCUACUGAUGCAAUCUCUCCUCUGUCGGGAAAUGGUUUUACAAAUAAAUGUCUUCAUUCAACC
rnacentral:lncRNA from 1 species